rnacentral:tmRNA from 1 species
GGGGUCGACUGGUUUUGACAGCGAGACCAAUGAAAUAGUAAGCAUGUCGAGUGAUGAAAUUUGACUCGUAAAUCACAAUUUCAACUUUUUUAAACGGCGAAAAUAAUUACGCUCUUGCUGCUUAAUCUGAAUCAUAGUAAGAUUUAAGCCUCGUCUGACAAGGUCAGAAAGCAGGAUGUCUUCAGAAAGCGUUUGUUAACCGCGUUCUAUUUAAAGACAUCGUAAAAGUUAACAUAGGAAUAUUAGAACUUCGAUAAUAUUUCAACAAUCUUAGAAGAUAAGGAUAAUAUUGGCGGUUUUUGGUCUAUUAUUGUUUCGAAAAUUAAACAAAAACUACACCUGUAGAAAGCUAUUUUAUUGCUUGUUUGGACGAGAGUUCGAUUCUCUCCGACUCCACA